rnacentral:rRNA from 1 species
UACGUAGGGUGCGAGCGUUAAUCGGAAUUACUGGGCGUAAAGCGUGCGCAGGCGGUUUUGUAAGCCAGAUGUGAAAUCCCCGGCUUAACCUGGGAACUGCGUCUGAUACUGGAAGGCUUGAGUAUGGGAGAGGGAUGUAGAAUUCCAGGUGUAGCGGUGAAAUGCGUAGAUAUCUGGAGGAAUACCGGUGGCGAAGGCGGCAUCCUGGACCAUUACUGACGCUGAGGCGCGAAAGCUAGGGGAGCAAACGGG